rnacentral:miRNA from 1 species
UGAAAAAAGGGCUAAAAACGGACGAAAAGUUAAAGAGUUAGCCUUAAAUUUUCGUCCGUUUUUAACUUUUUUCAUUUUCGA